rnacentral:rRNA from 1 species
GACGAACGCUGGCGGCGUGCUUAACACAUGCAAGUCGAACGGAAAGGCACUGCUUUUGUGGUGUGCUCGAGUGGCGAACGGGUGAGUAACACGUGAGUAACCUGCCCUUGACUUUGGGAUAACUUCAGGAAACUGGGGCUAAUACCGGAUAGGAGCUCCUGCUGCAUGGUGGGGGUUGGAAAGUUUCGGCGGUUGGGGAUGGACUCGCGGCUAAUCAGCUUGUUGGUGGGGUAGUGUCUUACCCAGGCAUUGACGGGUAGCCGGCCUGAAAGGGUGACCGGCCACAGAGGGCUAGGGGUGCGGCCAGAGUCCUACGGGAGGCAGCGGUGGCGAAUAUUGCACAGUGGGCGGAAGCCUGAGGCAGCAACGCCGCGGGCGGGAUGACGGCCUUCGGGUUGUGAACCGCUUUCGCCUGUGACGAAGCGGUAGUGACGGUAAUGGGUAAAGAAGCACCGGCUAACUACGUG